rnacentral:rRNA from 1 species
UACGAAGGGGCUAGCGUUGUUCGGAAUCACUGGGCGUAAAGCGCACGUAGGCGGAUGUGCCAGUCAGGGUGAAAUCCCGGGAGCUCAACUCCGGAACUGCCUCUGAUACAGCACGUCGUUGAGUUCGAGAGAGGUGGGUGGAAUUCCUAGUGUAGAGGUGAAAUGCGUAGAGAUCCGGAGGAACACCAGUGGCGAAGGCGACACGCUGGGCCGUACCUGACGCUAAAGCGCGACAGCAUGGGGAGCAAACGGG